AUUGAACGCUGGCGGCAUGCCUUACACAUGCAAGUCGAACGGCAGCACGGGUGCUUGCACCUGGUGGCGAGUGGCGAACGGGUGAGUAAUACAUCGGAACAUGUCCUGUAGCGGGGGAUAGCCCGGCGAAAGCCGGAUUAAUACCGCAUACGAUCUACGGAUGAAAGCGGGUGACCUUCGGGCCUCGCGCUAUAGGGUUGGCCGAUGGCUGAUUAGCUAGUUGGUGGGGUAAAGGCCUACCAAGGCGACGAUCAGUAGCUGGUCUGAGAGGACGACCAGCCACACUGGGACUGAGACACGGCCCAGACUCCUACGGGAGGCAGCAGUGGGGAAUUUUGGACAAUGGGCGAAAGCCUGAUCCAGCAAUGCCGCGUGUGUGAAGAAGGCCUUCGGGUUGUAAAGCACUUUUGUCCGGAAAGAAAUCCUUGGCCCUAAUACGGUCGGGGGAUGACGGUACCGGAAGAAUAAGCACCGGCUAACUACGUG
rnacentral:rRNA from 1 species